AUCGCUUCUUGGCCUUUUGGCUAAGAUCAAGUGUAGUAUCCACUAAGUCUAAUCAAAAUUUCUAAUUCCUCAUAACUCAC
ensembl:snRNA U2 U2 spliceosomal RNA